CCAACCGCACCAGCCUCAUCACUCACUCACUUCACUCUUCACCCACUCCAGCAAUGGCGUCACCUGGUUCCCCUUACCUCCUCCUUCCCACCACCAUCUCCCUGUCGUUUUACCUCUCCCUUGUCGUCCACUCCGCCGCCAGCAACCCCGACUUCCACCCCCUAAUGUCGUUCAAAGCCUCCUCCGACCCUUCCAACAAAUUCCUCUCCCAAUGGAACUCCACGUCCUCCAACCCCUGCACCUGGCACGGCGUCUCCUGCCUCCACCACCGCGUCUCCCACCUCGUCCUCGAAGACCUCAACCUCACCGGCUCCAUCCUCCCCCUCACUUCCCUCACCCAACUCCGCAUCCUCAGCCUUAAACGCAACCGUUUUGACGGUCCCUUCCCCUCCCUCUCCAACCUCACCGCCCUCAAGCUCCUCUUCCUCUCCCACAACAAAUUCUCCGGCGAGUUUCCCGCCACCGUCACCUCCCUCCCCCACCUCUACCGCCUCGACAUCUCCCACAACAACCUCUCUGGCCAGAUUCCGGCCACUGUCAACCAUUUAACCCACCUCCUCCCCUCCGCCUCGACUCCAACAACCUCCGCGGCCGCAUUCCCAACAUGAUCAACCUUUCUCAUCUUCAAGAUUUCAACGUUUCGAGUAACCAACUCUCCGGUCAAAUACCCGAUUCGCUUUCAGGCUUCCCCGGGUCCGCGUUUUCUAACAACCUUUUUCUCUGUGGAGUUCCGUUACGAAAAUGCAAAGGCCAGACAAAAGCUAUCCCUGCCCUCGCUUCGCCGUUGAAGCCUCGAAACGACACAGUUUUGAAUAAAAGAAAAACCCACGGGGCAGCGCCAAAAAUUGGGGUGAUGGUUUUGGUUAUUAUUGUUCUCGGCGACGUGUUGGUGUUGGCUCUUGUUUCAUUUCUUCUCUACUGCUAUUUCUGGCGGUUAUUAAAAGAAGGGAAAGCAGAGACUCAUUCGAAGUCGAAUGCGGUGUACAAAGGGUGUGCCGAGAGGGGUGUAAACAGCGACGGGAUGGUGUUUUUGGAAGGAGUGAUGAGGUUUGAGUUGGAGGAAUUGCUGCGUGCGUCUGCGGAAAUGUUGGGGAAGGGCGUGUUUGGGACUGCGUAUAAAGCGGUGCUCGAUGAUGGGACCGUUGCUGCGGUGAAGAGACUGAAAGAAGUGAGUGUUGGAGGGAAGAGGGAGUUCCAGCAGCGAAUGGAAGUGCUUGGAAGGUUGAGACACUGCAAUGUUGUUCCUUUGAGGGCUUACUAUUUCGCCAAAGAUGAGAAGUUGCUUGUGUCCGAUUACAUGCCCAAUGGUAGCUUGUCCUGGCUCCUCCACGGUAACCGAGGACCGGGACGGACCCCACUGGAUUGGACCACGCGGGUGAAACUCGCAGCUGGAGCGGCACGAGGCAUAGCCUUCAUUCACAACAGUGAUAAGCUCACCCACGGUAAUAUCAAAUCCACGAACGUUCUUGUCGACGUGGUGGGCAACGCGUGCGUGUCGGAUUUCGGGCUCUCCUCCAUCUUCGCCGGCCCCACGUGUGCUCGAUCCAACGGGUACCUCGCGCCGGAGGCAUCAUUGGAUGGCCGGAAGCAGACCCAUAUGUCUGACGUGUACUCCUUCGGGGUCCUCCUGAUGGAGAUUCUGACGGGGAAGUGCCCCUCCGCUGCCGCGGAGGCGCUGGAGCUUCCCCGGUGGGUCCGUUCAGUGGUGAGGGAGGAAUGGACGGCGGAGGUGUUCGAUCUCGAGCUGAUGAGGUACAAGGACAUUGAGGAGGAGAUGGUGGCGCUGUUGCAGAUUGCUAUGGCGUGCACUGUGGCGGCGCCUGAUCAACGACCCAGGAUGAGCCACGUAGCGAAAAUGAUCGAGGACUUGAGUGGGAUCCACGUGUCGCCGUCUCAUGACGCGUUGGACUUGGUUUCGGAGUCGCCUUCUGUGCCUGAAGAUGCGUGUACAGGAGGAGGUGGAGCUAGUGCUAGUCAAUGAACUUGGACUUUGUAAAUUAAAUUAUUAUUUAGUGUUGAAUAUGUUUUUCAAUUAACCUUUUCUGGAACUUUUAUUUGUAUUUCAUAUAUAUUAUUCAAUAUAAGCUAAUUUUUACGUUA